CUGGGCGGAGCGGCGGCCGCGGGGCUGAGGGGGAGCCGGGCGGGCGCGGUGAGGCACGGACAUCCCACUGUGAGACAGCGAGUGCUUCAGCCGGACAGAUAGACAGAAGGAAAUUACUUCAGACCAAGGGGAAAAUUCUUCAGAACAGAGGCAGAAAGAUUCUUUGUGAGCACUGCAGAACCAGGGCAGAAAAGAAGGAAAAUGCCACAGAAAGAAAGAAAAUAAAUGUCACAGAGAAGCUGUGACAUCAAGGUGCAGCUCUGCAGUGGGAACCAGCAGCUCUGACAGGAAUUCUUCCCUGCUGUCACUUCCAUCAUCCUCCU